UGUAAUUAUGGCAGGGCAUUGGGAGA
rnacentral:piRNA from 1 species